AGGGUUCGAUUCUGGCUCAGGAUGAACGCUGGCGGCGUGCUUAACACAUGCAAGUCGAACGGGAUCCAUCAGGCUUUGCUUGGUGGUGAGAGUGGCGAACGGGUGAGUAAUGCGUGACCGACCUGCCCCAUACACCGGAAUAGCUCCUGGAAACGGGUGGUAAUGCCGGAUGCUCCAGUUGAUCGCAUGGUCUUCUGGGAAAGCUUUCGCGGUAUGGGAUGGGGUCGCGUCCUAUCAGCUUGACGGCGGGGUAACGGCCCACCGUGGCUUCGACGGGUAGCCGGCCUGAGAGGGCGACCGGCCACAUUGGGACUGAGAUACGGCCCAGACUCCUACGGGAGGCAGCAGUGGGGAAUUUUGCGCAAUGGGGGAAACCCUGACGCAGCAACGCCGCGUGCGGGACGAAGGCCUUCGGGUUGUAAACCGCUUUCAGCAGGGAAUAUAGUGAAGGUACCUGCAGAAGAAGCUCCGGCUAACUACGUGCCAGCAGCCGCGGUAAUACGUAGGGAGCGAGCGUUAUCCGGAUUCAUUGGGCGUAAAGCGCGCGUAGGCGGCCCGUCAAGCGGGGUUUCAAAUCCAGGGGCUCAACCUCUGGCCGGACCCCGAACUGGCGGGCUCGAGUGCGGUAGAGGAAGGUGGAAUUCCCAGUGUAGCGGUGAAAUGCGCAGAUAUUGGGAAGAACACCGAUGGCGAAGGCAGCCUUCUGGGCCGCCACUGACGCUGAGGCGCGAAAGCUAGGGGAGCGAACAGGAUUAGAUACCCUGGUAGUCCUAGCCGUAAACGAUGGGCACUAGGUGUGGGGGAGCAUCUCCUCCGUGCCGCAGCCAACGCAUUAAGUGCCCCGCCUGGGGAGUACGGCCGCAAGGCUAAAACUCAAAGGAAUUGACGGGGGCCC
rnacentral:rRNA from 1 species